rnacentral:pre_miRNA from 1 species
AUUUAGUUUUUUCACUGAUCAUGUCCAACGUUUAACCAUCCAUUUUAUAUGAAAAAAUUUUAUAAUUAAUACUUUUGUUGUUAUUAGAUGAUAAAAUAUAAAUAACAAUUUUUUUUCAAAUAGGAUAGAUGGUUAAAAGUUAGACACGGAUAUACGCAACUGUAUUUAAA